AGUGAACGCUGGCGGUAGGCCUAACACAUGCAAGUCGAACGGCAGCACAGUAAGAGCUUGCUCUUACGGGUGGCGAGUGGCGGACGGGUGAGGAAUACAUCGGAAUCUACUUUUUCGUGGGGGAUAACGUAGGGAAACUUACGCUAAUACCGCAUACGACCUACGGGUGAAAGCAGGGGAUCUUCGGACCUUGCGCGAUUGAAUGAGCCGAUGUCGGAUUAGCUAGUUGGCGGGGUAAAGGCCCACCAAGGCGAAGAUCCGUAGCUGGUCUGAGAGGAUGAUCAGCCACACUGGAACUGAGACACGGUCCAGACUCCUACGGGAGGCAGCAGUGGGGAAUAUUGGACAAUGGGGGCAAGCCUGAUCCAGCCAUACCGCGUGGGUGAAGAAGGCCUUCGGGUUGUAAAGCCCUUUUGUUGGGAAAGAAAAGCAGCAGGUUAAUACCCCGCUGUUCUGACGGUACCCAAAGAAUAAGCACCGGCUAACUUCGUG
rnacentral:rRNA from 1 species